AGAAUGAACGCUGGCGGCGUGCUUUACACAUGCAAGUCGAGCGAGGCGUGUAGCAAUACACAGUCGAGCGGCGAACGGGUGAGUAACGCGUGGAUUAUCUGCCCUGAGGUGGGGGGAUAACCCGGGGAAACUCGGGCUAAUACCGCAUAUGACCGUAAGGUCAAAGGGGGGUCGCAAGAUCUCUCGCCUUUGGAGGAGUCCGCGUCCGAUUAGCUAGUUGGUAGGGUAAUGGCCUACCAAGGCGACGAUCGGUAGCCGGCCUGAGAGGGUGAGUCGGACCGACACUAGGAACUGAGACACGGUCCAGACUCCUACGGGAGGCAGCAGUGGGGAAUUUGCGCAAGUGGGACUAACGCCUGACGCAGCAACGCCGCGUGGAGGAUGAAGGUCUUGAUUGUAAACUCCUGUCAGACAGGAAAAGCGAGUCGACCUCAUACGUCGGUGAGUUGAUUGUACCUGACAGAGAACGCCCGGACUAACUCUGUGACCGACGCACGCCGACGGUAAUCGUA
rnacentral:rRNA from 1 species